rnacentral:rRNA from 1 species
CAGCAGCAGCCGCGGUAAUGCGUAGGGUGCGAGCGUUAAUCGGAAUUACUGGGCGUAAAGCGUGCGCAGGCGGUUGUGUAAGACAGGUGUGAAAUCCCCGGGCUUAACCUGGGAACUACGCUUGUGACUGCACAGCUAGAGUAUGGCAGAGGGGGGUGGAAUUCCACGUGUAGCAGUGAAAUGCGUAGAGAUGUGGAGGAACACCGAUGGCGAAGGCAGCUCCCUGGGCCAAUACUGACGCUCAUGCACGAAAGCGUGGGGAGCAAACAGGAUUAGAUACCCCCGUAGUCCCUGUCUCUUAUAC